rnacentral:rRNA from 1 species
CACGUAGGCACCAAGCGUUGUCCGGAUUUAUUGGGCGUAAAGAGCUCGUAGGUGGUGCCCUAAGUCUGUUGUGAAAUCUCCCGGCUUAACUGGGAGGGUGCGGUGGAAACUGGGGUGCUUGAGUGUGGGAGAGGUAAGCGGAAUUCCUGGUGUAGCGGUGAAAUGCGUAGAUAUCAGGAGGAACACCGGUGGUGUAGACGGCUUACUGGACCACGACUGACACUGAGGCACGAAAGCGUGGGUAGCAAACAGG